GAUGAACGCUGGCGGCGUGCCUAAUACAUGCAAGUCGAGCGAACAGACGAGGAGCUUGCUCCUCUGACGUUAGCGGCGGACGGGUGAGGAACACGUGGAUAACCUACCUAUAAGACUGGGAUAACUUCGGGAAACCGGAGCUAAUACCGGAUAACAUGUUGAACCGCAUGGUGCAACAGUGAAAGACGGUCUUUCUGUCGCUUAUAGAUGAAUCCGCGCCUCAUUAGCUAGUUGGUAAGGUAACGGCUUACCAAGGCAACGAUGGGUAACCGCCCCCAGCGGGUGGUCGGCCACCCGGGAACUGAGACACGGUCCAGACUCCUGCGGUGGGACGCAGUAGGGACUCUUACGCGAGGGGCGAAUGCCUGACGGAGCACCGCCGCGUGAGUGAAGAAGGUCUUCGGACCGUAAAACUCUGUUAUUAGGGAAGAACUAAUGUGUAAUUAACUAUGCACGUCUUGACGGUACCUGAUCAGAAAGCCCCGGCUAACUACGUG
rnacentral:rRNA from 1 species